GACGAACGCUGGCGGCGUGCUUAACACAUGCAAGUCGAACGGAAAGGCCCUGCUUUUGUGGGUUUCUCGAUUGGCGAACGGGUGAGUAACACGUGUGUAACCUGCCCUUGACUUUGGGAUAACUUCAGGGAACUGGGGCUCAUACCGGAUAGGAUCUCCUGCUGCAUGGUGGGGGUUGGAAAGUUUCGGCGGUUGGGGAUGGACUCGCGGCUUAUCAGCUUGUUGGUGAGGUAGUGGCUUACCAAGGCUUUGACGGGUAGCCGGCCUGAGAGGGUUACCGGCGACCAUGGGACUGAGAUACGGCGCAGAAUCCAACGGGCGGCAGCAGUGGGGAAUAUUGCAGAAUGGGCCGAAGCCUGAUGCAGCAACGCCGCGUGCGGGAUGCUGGGCUUCGGGUUGUAAACAGCUUUGGACGGUGCCGAAGAGUGAGUGACGGUAAUGGGUCAAGAAGCACCGGCUAACUACGUG
rnacentral:rRNA from 1 species